rnacentral:rRNA from 1 species
CCUACGGGAGGCAGCAGUGGGGAAUAUUGCACAAUGGGGGAAACCCUGAUGCAGCGACGCCGCGUGAGCGAUGAAGUAUUUCUGUAUGUAAAGCUCUAUCUGUAGGGAAGAAAAUGACGGUACCUGACUAUGAAGCUCCGGCUAACUACGUGCCAGCAGCCGCGGUAAUAUGUAGGGGGCCAGCGUUAUCCGGAUUUACGGGGUGUAAAGGGAGCUGAGACGGUCCUGCAAGCCAGAUGUGAAAGCCUGGGGCUCAACCCCGGGACUGCAUUUGGAACUGUAAGGCUAGAGUGUCGGAGAGGCAGGCGGAAUUCCUAGGGUAGCGGUGAAAUGCGUAGAUAUUAGGAGGAACACCAGUGGCGAAGGCGGCCUGCUGGACGAUGACUGACGUUGAGGCUCGAAAGCGUGGGGAGCAAACAGGAUUAGAUACCCGUGUAGUC